rnacentral:sRNA from 2 species
AUGCAGGGUGCCUAGGGUUCCGCCGGUUCAUUUCAAACCGGGACUGGUCCGAGAGGUGCCGCCGAUCCGGCAAAUUCCGGACCGGUACACGGCGGGAAAAAAUCCCGGGAGAA